rnacentral:rRNA from 1 species
UACAGAGGUCCCGAGCGUUGUUCGGAUUCAUUGGGCGUAAAGGGUGCGUAGGCGGCUGGGUAAGUUUGAUGUGAAAUCCUGGGGCUCAACCCUGGAACUGCAUUGAAUACUGCUCGGCUAGAGUACUGGAGAGGAAACUGGAAUUUACGGUGUAGCAGUGAAAUGCGUAGAUAUCGUAAGGAAGACCAGUGGCGAAGGCGAGUUUCUGGACAGUUACUGACGCUGAGGCACGAAGGCCAGGGGAGCAAACGGGG